UUGGAGGGCAAGUCUGGUGCCAGCAGCCGCGGUAAUUCCAGCUCCAAUAGCGUAUAUUAAAGUUGCUGCAGUUAAAAAGCUCGUAGUUGAAUUUCGGGACUAAUAUGUCGGUCGUGCCUCGGUACGUACUGGUACUUUUGGUUUCUCCCUUCUGACGAACCUUGAUGUCAUUAAUUUGGUGUCUUGGGAAAUCAGGACUGUUACUUUGAAAAAAUUAGAGUGUUUAAAGCAGGCUCACGCUUGAAUACAUUAGCAUGGAAUAAUGAAAUAGGACGUUUGAUUCUAUUUUGUUGGUUUCUAGGAUCGACGUAAUGAUUAAUAGGGAUAGUUGGGGGCAUUAGUAUUCAAUUGUCAGAGGUGAAAUUCUUGGAUUUAUUGAAGACUAACUACUGCGAAAGCAUUUGCCAAGGAUGUUUUCAUUAAUCAAGAACGAAAGUUAGGGGAUCGAAGACGAUCAGAUACCGUCGUAGUCUUAACCAUAAACUAUGCCGACUAGGGAUCGGAUGAUGUUAAUUUUUUAAUGACUCAUUCGGCGCCUUACGGGAAAC
rnacentral:rRNA from 1 species